rfam:Salmo salar isolate Sally breed double haploid chromosome ssa06, whole genome shotgun sequence.
UAGUUCAGUUGGUAGAGCAUGGUGUUUGCAACACCAGGGUUGUGGGUUCGAUUCCCAC